GGAAGAGUGGUCGAGUGGUUUAUGGCACCGGCUUGCUAAGCCGUCGUAUCUUUGAUACCGUGGGUUCGAAUCCCAUCUCUUCCU
rnacentral:tRNA from 1 species